CGGGGUGUGGCGUAGCCUGGUAGCGCGCUCCGCUGGGGGUGGAGAGGUCAUCAGUUCAAAUCUGGUCACCCCGACCA
rnacentral:tRNA from 1 species